CCAAUGGUGCGUUCUCGACAACUUGGAACUUCAACCUAGCUCGGAACUCGGGAAUCUCCAACCUCCGACUUCAGUGCGUUCAAAACAAUUGGGAACUAAUAAAAACGAUCUCUGACUGGAAAAAUUUGUUUUGAACGGUCAUCCAAUUUGGAAUUACUAGUCGUAAAUUCGGGCGUCAUGCCGCUUUCAAAACAACUGGGAACUCUGGAUAAUAUGAGCUCGGACUGGGAAAAAUCAUUUUGAAUGGUCAUCUAACUCGGAAUUCCAAGUCACUCUUUCUACGUCGUGAUUUGACCUCGUUUCUUCCGAGUUCCCAGUUGUCUUGAAAGCGCCAUCAUCCAAGAACUCCAAUUUCUCUGACAUGAAGGUCACCGACGUCACGAUCCUGAGAUUUUUUCCCCCCAUUCUGAGCUCGUUUUUCCCGAGUCCCCAGUUCUCUUGAAUGUACCAAGAGAGUUUAUAUAGCGCAAUGGACUGGCCAGCCACAUGCUCGAUCAUUCGAUUAGUCUUGUGAUCGACCUGGAGACGUCUUUCUCAAUGUCGAAGUUAUAUCUUAGAAAUGCUUCAUUAGUGUUUAACGUUAGUUAUUGGUACACUGCUGCCACUUGAGUCUUGCAAUGCUCCUGAACUGGUCAUUAACGUUAGCUCCAAGUAGCUAGAUUGGUAGUUGUGGAGGGUUGGGCCUUGCAGAACCAUGCACGUGGGGAACUUGAGAUACGUAAACCAUGCCGGGUUCUAGAUUCGGGAGACCACUCCUUCUGGACCUGGCCAGUGUGGAGUGAACUGGAGCAUGCACCAUUGACUGCACAUGGCUGGAGUGACACCGACCCCAAUGAGUUGAUGACUCGGAGACUCAAGGUGGUGUCCCUUUGAAUAAUAUCCUUUUAAGGUCUCCCUGAACUGGAUAUGUACACUGAGCUCCCAUCUAUCCUCCAGAUUCUCUUCCAAGUGGCCGGAGUUUCCAAGAUGGUCAGCGCUUCCUUUCUUGCUCUGGUAACUUGACACAGAACUACCACUAGAGGAAGUGAUGUCACUGAGGGGAACAGCCAUCAACUGGAAGAAAGGAAUUGUGUGGUAGCCCAUAUGGGACCCACCUGAGACAUGGAGACCUAAAGCUCAAAACAUUGUUGUAAUAAAUAUCACCUGGGAGCAUGAGCAGCAGUGUGCAUUGUUUUCCUUUCUCUGUGUGUGUUCUGCUUCGUUUAUUUUGAGGUUUUGCUGAGUAAUGGUGUUUUUUGUCUGUGAUUAUAGAAGAGACAGUCUCAUUCUUUGAACUUCAAUAAAUAGGUUUUAACCCUG